AGUGAACGCUGGCGGUAGGCCUAACACAUGCAAGUCGAACGGCAGCACAGUAAGAGCUUGCUCUUACGGGUGGCGAGUGGCGGACGGGUGAGGAAUACAUCGGAAUCUACUUUUUCGUGGGGGAUAACGUAGGGAAACUUACGCUAAUACCGCAUACGACCUACGGGUGAAAGCAGGGGAUCUUCGGACCUUGCGCGAUUGAAUGAGCCGAUGUCGGAUUAGCUAGUUGGCGGGGUAAAGGCCCACCAAGGCGACGAUCCGUAGCUGGUCUGAGAGGAUGAACAAGCAACACGGAAAUGGGGACACGGUCCAGAUUCCUAGGGGAGGCAGAGGGGGGAAUUAUGGACAAUUGGGGGAAACCUGAUCCAGCCCUUACGGGGGGGGGAAGAAGGCCUUCCGGGUGGAAAGGCCUUUUUUUGGGAAAGAAAAGGCGCCAGGUAAUACCCCGCUGUUCUGACGGUACCCAAAGAAUAAGCACCGGCUAACUUCGUG
rnacentral:rRNA from 1 species